rnacentral:rRNA from 1 species
CACGUAGGGGGCAAGCGUUGUCCGGAAUUACUGGGCGUAAAGGGCGUGUAGGCGGCCAUGUAUGUCAGGUGUGAAAGGCCUCGGCUUAACCGAGGCAUUGCACAUGAAACUGUAUGGCUUGAGUGCAGGAGAGGGGAGUGGAAUUCCUAGUGUAGCGGUGAAAUGCGUAGAUAUUAGGAGGAACACCAGUGGCGAAGGCGACUUCCUGGACUGUAACUGACGCUGAGGCGCGAAAGCGUGGGUAGCAAACAGGAUUAGAUACC